rnacentral:lncRNA from 1 species
GGGCGAGUGGGCUUCGCGGCGGGGCGGCUCGGCGACGGCGAGAACUCCGGCGAGCAUGAAGGUGUGAUGGGGAAGGGGAGAAGGCACGCCGAGGGCACCAGGGUGCUCGUCGUGCCCUUGCGAGGUCGAGUCCGGGCUCACUUUGACGAGAACAGCAGCGGGGCGGAGCGCAGCGGAGGUCGGGAUCUCGGCGACUUCAAUGGCGGCGGCAAGCUUUGAUUAGGGUUUUGCGGGGGCUUGGGAGAGCGAUUAGGGCUUCUAGGGAGGCGUGCGGCGGCUGCAGGGCGCCCUUAAAUAGGUGAAGGCGAACCUCGGUUCGCGUGUGCGCAGAAACCGGGGCGGCGGCGCGGCGGCUGCCCCGUCCGAAUCGGACGGGAGGUUGGGGAUGACCACCCCGCUGACAGGUGGGGCCCCCUGGUCAGCGGCUGCGGGUGGAGAGGAGGCAGGCGGGGGCGCUGGGCUGGGCACUCGGGGCGCAAGUGCUGCGUGGCUGGGCCGCGGCCCACUCGGGCGUGCAGGGGGGGAAGGGAGGCCGGCCCAGGGCGCUUGCCCUUUUCCUUUCUCUUUUUUUUUCUUUUUAUUCAAAAGGGUUUAAACCAAAUUUUCAACACCUUUAUAAACCAAAAUUUGAUUUAUUAAUUUGGGUCGUUUUGAGAAUUGUUUUCUCUACUGCUUUUGAAAACAAAGCAUUUUUUUUCUUAAUAACAUAUUUUUAAAUUAUUUUUCCACUCAAAUAUAAAUUAGUUUUCAAAUAUGACUUUUGGAGUUUUAUUUUUUUGAAAACCGAAAGGACCUAAACGUGCUCUCUAGAAAUUUUGAAAUUCAUUUUUCUGAGACAAGCCAAACAAAGCUAGGGCACAAAACACACAUCAAAUAAAACACCCUCCACUUAAUUUAUUAAAAGUUUUAAAAUUCCACAUUUUUCUCAUUUUAUAUUAACAACAAUGAAUAAAAUCUUGGAAUAUUUUACAAAAAUUUUUAAAUCCUUAAUUAAUUUAGUGUUUUCUAAUAACAAUCUAAAAUUAAAAAUUUUGGAGUGUUAUAGAUCUACCCCACUUAACAUAAAUCUCGUCCCGAGAUUUGAGGAAACUAGAGAGAAAGAUAAAGUAGAUCAUAAAAGUUGUUUCGAGACUUUCAAGACGUGAUCAAAGGAUUAAAGAUAGACAUAAAGGGUAUAGAGUAUGGUAAAGAUUGAUGACAAGGAAAGAUAAACAUAUGAGAUAGAAAUUGAUCUUUGGAUCCUGAGUUAUGAUAAGGUGCAAGGGCGAGAAGCCAACAUUAACAAGGGAUGACACAUAGGAGAUAAAGAUUAUAGUGCUCACAAUUUCCUUGAUUCCAGAUUUGUAUGAGAUAGUAGACGAAAGGAUAAAGAAAAGACAAAAGUUGACAACGAUUUAGAUUUUUUUUUCACGCUUAAUUAUUUGUAGUCCUAUGAGACGUAGG